AAGAUUUUAAGUUAACAAAACUAGAAGCCUUCAAAGCUUCCAUUGGUCUUUACCAAAUCUUG
rnacentral:tRNA from 1 species